AGGACAGCGGGAUGGAACUAAGUC
rnacentral:siRNA from 1 species